CGUUUGUUUACUGCUACUAAACUUUAGUCCCUAUAACAUUAGAUAUUUGGACACAUUAGUGAAGUAUUAAAUAUAGACUAUUUAUAAAACUAAAAAGUAUAUAGAUAUAGACUAAUUUGUGAGAUGAAUUUCUAAGCCUAACUAAUCUAUAAUUAGACACUAAUUGCUAUACAUGUGCUAAUGAUCAAUUGAUUAGGUUUAAUACAAUUUAUUUUUCUAUUAGCAUCUGAACACUUUAUAGACCACCUCAUAUAUAAUAUCUGAUGUAACACUUAUUAAACUUUAGCUCCUGAA
rnacentral:lncRNA from 1 species